GCGGCGGUGCGCGGGAUGGAGUUGCGCCUUGCCCGCAGUUAUCCCGGCGCUCUCGGGCAGAAGCUCCCGGCCCGCAAGUGGAGCGGAGCCCUCGCAGAGGCCGCUCCGCCGCCCGCCGCGGUUUCGCUCCCUGCGGGGCCGCUUGGUGUCACCCGCGCUCCGCGGCCAGGCCGAGUCCUCCCCCGACACUGCCUGCAGGCGCGCCCCCGCUCUGCGCAUGCGUCACCACCCCGGGCCGCUGAGGGUUGCCAUGGUUACCGCGACCCGGAAGUGCCGCCGGGGGGCGAUGGCUGCCCCCAGCCCCGAGCCGGCACUCACGGCCCGAGGGGGGCCCCGCGGCCCCGCCGCCCCCUGAGGCCUUCCCACCUCUCUCCCACCAUGGCCCGGGGGGCCGGCGAGGCGGCCGCGGAGGGGGAGCUGGGAGAUGACAAGCUGUCUGUGACAACCUGCCAGUCAGACACAGCCAUGAAGUUAAAGAAGAAGAUUUUUCACAAGCCUCCAAAAUCACCAAAGUCUCCCUACAGCUCAAGCACACAACUGUAUCCUAAAAAAGCUGCAGCUUGGAGGCCUCUGCAGGGAACGGGCAGUGCUUGUUUUGAGAAUGCAACUGUUGAAAACCCAAGGCAGAUGUGGCUGGGAUUUCUGAAACAAGGAAUGAGCCAUGCUCUGAAAUCAGAUGCUGACACGGGGCAUGUGCGAGCUAACGUUUCCAGUAGCACUCCAGAAUAUUUGAAGGAAGCUCUAGGAAUGAAAAAGCCAAAACAUGCUCGUUCUUCCAGUAAUGGCUACGUUCCUGGAACUCCUGACUACAAAGAGAAAGAAGAUAUGUAUGAUGAAAUUAUAGAACUGAAAAAGACAAUACAAGCUCAGAAGAAUGAGGGAGACCGAAUGAAGACAAAGCUCCGUCGCCUGGAAGAGGAGAACAGUAGAAAGGAUAAACAGAUUGAGCAACUGCUGGAUCCUUCCAGGGGCUCUGAGCUGGCACGAGCUUUGUCAGAAAAGAAGACUGAUAAUGGAUGGGUGGUUACUGGAUUAAAGCAGAAGAUUGUCAAGCUUGAAGAGCAGUGCAAGGAGAAAGACAACACUAUUAAUGAAUCCCAGGCAGACAUGAAGACCAGUAGUUUGGAAGAAGUGAGGUUAGCCAUGGAAACCUACUAUGAAGAGGUUCAUCGCCUCCAACUCCUCCUGGCCAAGUCUGAGACUAUGAGGAAAAAUGCAGAGGGCAGAGACACCCAGAAACGACUGAAGGCCCUGAAUGCUGCUGUGCUGAGGCUCUCCAGGAACAUCAGGGAAAUGCAGGCUGAGAAUCGCAGGCUGAAGGAGGAUCUGGAUCACGUGCUGAGCACCUCCCCUCCUCACAGUAAAACAAAAAAUUAUAGUGAGUGGAGCAGACAAAGGCUGGUGAGGAAGAUUAUGGAUCUAGAAAAAAAAGUGUGUGCCAUGGAGAGCAGCAGGGCAUCCUUAGGUGAUAGUGAGGCUUCACAAGUGCUUCCUGAGUCAUCUUCACCUUCUGUGGACCUGGACCAUCCAUCAUCCCAGCAUUUAGGUGAGGAAUGCUGUCGCCUCCAGAAGCUGGUGAAGAAACUGAAGAAUGAUAGGCAGGCACUUCAGAACCUCCUGCUCAGUAAAGAGUUAGAUAUCAAGCAGUUACUGCAGGCUAAGGCUGAAGUGGAGCUGGAGCUGCAGAAGUGGCAGAGUAAGAUGGAAGAAAAGAGUACAGAAGAGCAGACUUUAAGUGAGGAAAUCCAGAACCUGACCCAGAAAGUAGGGAAACUGGAGUUAAAACUGGAGGAGGAGAAAAGACAAAUGGGAGAAGAUACAGUGGAAAAGCUUAAUAAGGCUCCUCCAGUCUGCACAGUGACAGGCAAAGAAAAUCACAGGAAAGAGCAAGCAGCCAGAAUUAUCCAGAGAUACUGGAAGAUGUACAAAACCAAGAAAGAAGAAGCUGCUCUGCAUGAGGCAGUUGUUCUGCUGCAGGCAGCCUUCAGAGGACAUUUAUCUCGACAGAAAGUGCUGCUGGAUGCUGGGCUGCCUGAUGCAAAGCCUCACGCCGAGAACUCCUGCCUGCCUUCCAUGUCAGACUCCUUGAGCUUUUCUUCUGAUUGCAAGGAGAGAGAUGAGAUUGUGACAUUCAUCCAGUCCAUUUUCAGGGCUCACUUGGCACGUACAGGACCACCUCAGGAGAGGCCCUCUGUGCCCAGUGCCCCCAGUGGGAAAGCAGAUCCUGCAGUUUCCAUCCCAGAGAAGAGACCAGACUCAGCAGCACUCCAGAGGUCUUCAGUCCCCACAUCUCCUCUUCCUGGCAGGUCCUGCUCUGCUCCCUCUGUGGCCCUGGAUGAGGCUCACUCCGACGACUCCGAUGACGUGGUUGUCCCUCCCUUGCUGCAGGUGAAGAAAAGCUACACCCACUUCUAAGGUCCACUGAAAAAGCCUUUAAGGACUCCCUAAGGAAGCCUUCUGCUGCUUUAUGGAAAUAGAAGACCCUGCUGUGAAAACAUGGGAAUCCUGCAGUCAUCCUCCUGUCAAGCAGAGUCCUUGGUCUCUACUGGCAUAUUCUGUGGAUUUCUUAUGGGAAACUUCAGUUUUAAAUCUUAAACACCAGAGGUAAUCCAUGAGGCAUGAAUGGAAAAAUUUGGUAUUAUUUCUUGGAGCAGACUGGUCUUGAAUUCAGAAAGCAAUUAAGCAUUCACACUUAGUUAUAUUAAGCCAUAAUUUGUCUGCAGCUGAAGUUGGAAUGCCCUUGACUCUUGCAAGCUUUGCAGCAUCUCUCUGUGGUAGGUUUGUCAGCUAAUGAAUUGCUUUCCUCAUAGAAACUUUUUAAGGAGAGAAAAAAGUUUCAUUCAAUGGGCAUCAUUAAGACCUGCAAAGAGCAAAAUUUCCAUGUUAGACUCCAGGUUUGUAGGGAAGGAUUUUCAGGCAUGGUUGGUGGUCAGGUGCUGCAUCAGUUCCCCUGAUGUUUCCUUCUGUUUGCUGAAGUGCUGCUGUGCUGGUGCAGCCCUGACAUCCCUUCCAGUGCCUGCCCUGGUUUUGGUGUGUGUUUGGCACCUUGGUUAACGUGGUGUUCAGCAACCACCUGGAGGUGGAAGUGUUCAGUAACCACUCCUGCUGGGCUCAGGGAAGAGCCUUGAGCAGCAAGGGUUGCUGUUCUAGGAAUUCACUCUGGCCUAGUUCACUGAUGGAGUUGCACCCUGCUCCCCUUGCCCCUCCCUGCCUGGCCCUCCCAAUUACCCUUUUCAAACCUGAGCAUCUGGACUCUCCCUGCUCUCCAGGACAGAGUUUGUGUUGUUCCUCUCACCAGAGCUGUGUCUGAGCCAAUGUCCCAGCUCAAGGUGUGGCUCAGGCUGUCCCAGCUCCCCUCCCUCACAGACACAUUGCACUGCCUACCACAAGAGCCCCUGCAGGGCUUCUAUUGCUGGUGGUGUGAAUUGAGCUGUCAUAAAAUCUUGAGGCUCAAAAUGGUCUGGGAAGAAGCAGGAGGGACAAUAGGGACAUCAUGCCCAUUGUCAGACAAUCCCACACCUGGAUGUCAUUCCUGUCCCCUCCUCAGCCCAUCAGCUCUGCAGAGCUGAGCCUCUACCUCAGCAGUGUAACACAGCUGGAAAGUCUGUGCUGUAGUCUGACUUCAGGGAUGGAAUACUGUAAAAUCUUGGUUACAGUGCUGCUGUAAAAAAAGGCUGUGCUUCAAUGGCCUCUAGGUACAUGCAUGGAAAAUUAGAAGAGCUUUUAAUAAAUGGGAUUGACCAUGAGUGCCUGUAGUACAAGUUACAAAUGUUCUGCACAAACAUUGCUUUGCAUUGCCAUUAUUUGAGCAAUAAUCCUUAUUUGGAACUUACACAAAUUGUGGCAGAACCUUCUAUUUGUCUAACCUGGGAAUUUUUCCUGAACAGGCUCUCUAUAAUCUACUCAGAGAAUUGGCAGUUUUCUUCCCUCUCUCGGCAGAUAUUUAAUAGCCACGUAUUGCAUUUCCAUGCUAGUAAACCUUCAUUAUUAUACAAAAUGUACCAGAAUGUUAUGAAGAAAUACCUUAAAUAAUUAAAUAGAAAUGAAGAGUGACAAAACAAA